rnacentral:lncRNA from 1 species
GCCGGACGCCCAGGGGAGGGGUGCAGCUGGUAGGGCCCGAACACACUGGUGGUAACCCGAGGACUAGGCGACUUGCCAAUUCUAAAGAACGCUGCUUUUCCUGUGCCCAGUUCCCUCACUCUUACUGGACUUGAACGAAUGAGAACAUCAUCGAGCACCAAAUAAUAAUGAUUUAAAAAUCAUGGGAACAAACAGUGAUAAAAAUGAUACUAUUUGUGGAGGAUCUGUGGGUCUGUUUUUUUUACAAGGAGUAUUUCAUUUGAUUCUCAUCUGAUUUUGUAAGGAAAUUACAAUUACUGUGUUUCUAGCCGGGCAAUGAUCUGCAGGACGUGAGAACUUGUUAGAAAUGCUAAUUCUCAGCCCAUCCAGCCUCCACUGACUUAUAUAUGCUGGGAGGCAAAGUCAAGCCCUUGGUGUUUAACAAGCCCUCCUUGGGGGGCUGACGCAUGUUCAAGUUUGAGAACCACUGUUUUCAGUACUGCUUUGUAUCCCCGAGUGUGAACUUGAGCGGUUCCCCGUGGCAACUGCUCAAUAACAUACCUUUCUGGGGCCUCCUUCCUUUCCUUGUUUCACAUCUUUACUCUUCAGCUGGGCCUUCCUGGGAUCACCUCCAAACAACUACUUGCAUUUGAAUCCUUGCCUCAAGUCUGCUUCCAGAGAACACCAUCUGAGAGAUCUGCAGGGGAAGUGUGGUUGCCCAGAGAGGAGGAGGAAAGUGGCUGCAUGGCAUGUUUCAACAGACCCAUCAGGAGACCUGAUAAAACCCUAAAAGAAGAAUAUUUGCAUGAAAUGAGAAAUAGUUACCAAGGAAAACCGUAAAUAAGCCUUCUAGCCUCACUUGCUCUUAACAUAAAAAGUCAUUUUGGAGGCCACACAGUUGGGCAAUACAAGGUUAGCUUCCCACUAGUUUUGCUGUAAAAUGACACCUGUGACAUGGGGGUUGUGAUAACAGUUGCCUAGGUUACUUCCCAGGGACCUGAAGGCCACUUUUGCUGAAAACAUUGACCCUUCCCUUGAGCCUAGAGAUCUGAUGGGUGACUAAAAUGGAAUACAAAGUGUGGCAUCUGCCUCACAUUGUGUCUGUCCCCUUUGGUGCCUCAGCCCUUGGAUCAGAUUCUACCCAGCUCUGUACCUAGACAUGUUCAUCAUUUUAAAAUGUUA